CACUGGAAGGUCCCUAAACCGAAAGGGGCUCUGCCCGCCCGAGGAUGGGCCGGCGGCCGAUUAGGUAGUUGGUGGGGUAACGGCCCACCAAGCCCAUAAUCGGUACGGGCAGUGAGAGCUGGAGCCCGGAGAUGGACACUGAGACACGGGUCCAGGCCCUACGGGGCGCAGCAGGCGCGAAACCUCCGCAAUGCUCGAAAGAGCGACGGGGGGACCCCAAGUGCCGUGGUACAACCACGGCUUUUCCGGAGUGUAAGAAGCUCCGGGAAUAAGGGCUGGGCAAGGCCGGUGGCAGCCGCCGCGGUAAUACCGGCGGCCCGAGUGGUGGCCACUAUUAUUGGGCCUAAAGCGUCCGUAGCCGGGCUUGUAAGUCCCUGGCGAAAUCCCACGGCUCAACCGUGGGGCUUGCUGGGGAUACUGCAAGCCUUGGGACCGGGAGAGGCCGGGGGUACUCCUGGGGUAGGGGUGAAAUCCUAUAAUCCCAGGAGGACCGCCAGUGGCGAAGGCGCCCGGCUGGAACGGGUCCGACGGUGAGGGACGAAGGCCAGGGGAGCAAACCGGAUUAGAUACCCGGGUAGUCCUGGCCGUAAACGAUGUGAACUUGAUAUUGGGAUGGCUACGGGCUGUCCCAGUGUCGUAGGGAAGCCGUUAAG
rnacentral:rRNA from 1 species